GAUCCUGGCUCAGGAUGAACGCUGGCGGCGUGCUUAACACAUGCAAGUCGAACGGGAAACCUAUUAUUGAAGCUUCGGCAGAUUUAGUUUGUUUCUAGUGGCGGACGGGUGAGUAACGCGUGGGUAACCUGCCCUAUACAGGGGGAUAACAACCAGAAAUGGUUGCUAAUACCGCAUAAGCGCACAGGACCGCAUGGUCCGGUGUGAAAAACUCCGGUGGUAUAGGAUGGACCCGCGUUGGAUUAGCUAGUUGG
rnacentral:rRNA from 1 species